rnacentral:rRNA from 1 species
UACGUAGGUGGCGAGCGUUGUCCGGAUUUACUGGGCGUAAAGAGCGCGCAGGCGGUCGUACAAGUCGCGUGUGAAAGCCCCUGGCUCAACUGGGGAGGGUCACGCGAUACUGUUCGACUUGAAGGCAGGAGAGGGAAGUGGAAUUCCCGGUGUAGUGGUGAAAUGCGCAGAUAUCAGGAAGAACACCAAUGGCGAAGGCAGCCCUCUGGGACGGUACUGACGCUGAGACGCGAAAGCGUGGGGAGCGAACAGG